UGUUAUGUGGCUUAAUUUGUUAAAGCGCCGGUCUAGCGCCGGUCAUGGGUUCGAAUCCCACCAGAACGC
rfam:Aedes albopictus isolate Foshan contig28342, whole genome shotgun sequence.